rnacentral:rRNA from 1 species
UACGUAGGGCGCAAGCGUUGUCCGGAAUUAUUGGGCGUAAAGAGCUCGUAGGCGGCUUGUCACGUCGGGUGUGAAAGCCCGGGGCUUAACCCCGGGUCUGCAUUCGAUACGGGCUAGCUAGAGUGUGGUAGGGGAGAUCGGAAUUCCAGGUGUAGCGAUGAAAUGCGUAGAUAUCUGGAGGAACAUCGGUGGCGAAGGCGGCAUCCUGGACCGGUAUUGACGCUGAUGAGCGAAAGCUAGGGGAGCAAACGGG